GUACUACAGAGUUUCCUUUCAUUCCUAGCAACUGACGGGUGACAGAGGGAAUCUUGAACCCCUCCCCCACAAAGAUGAACAAAGCUGACUCAAGGCACCCGCGUUCAGGAAUCUGACUAAGCUAGAAAGGGCAAAAUGACCCACUAUGGGUCUUUAUUCUUCCCUUGUGGCCACUGGCAGCUUCUGAGAUGUACAGACUGGAUGAUUAAGAAAACUUGCCGAAAAUGGAGACAGAAGCAGGAGUUAAAAGGAAAGGUCUCAGCCUUCUGUGAGCCCCAUUCUCUGCUCUUCAACAAUGGUCCUCCAGUCCCCACAUCUCAGUAUCAGCCUACAGUGAACCCCGUUCUCUGCUUACCCACAACUCUAAGCUGAUUCUUUAGACAGGAGCCUAGCAUGACUGUCCUUUGAGAGGCUCCACCUAGCAGUUGACUCAGAUGCAGAAAUCCACAGCCAAAGAUUGAGUGGAGCUUGGAACUCUUUUAUGGAGGAAGGAUUGAUGACCCGGAAGGGGACAGGAACUCCAUAAGAAGACCAACAGAGUCAACUAACCUGGACCCUUGGGGGCUCUCAGAGACUGGACCACCAACAAAAGAGCAUACAGCGGCUGGAUCUAGCUGCCCCGUUUUGCUGGUACUCUGGACAGCUCUCAACCCGCCCCUACCUGCCCUCGGGGGUUGGGGGUGAGUUGGCAUAGAGUCACGGACACAGACAGACCCCUGGGAGCA
rnacentral:lncRNA from 1 species